UUGCUGGGUGGAUUAGUGGCGAACGGGUGAGUAACACGUGAGUAACCUGCCCUUAACUCUGGGAUAAGCCUGGGAAACUGGGUCUAAUACCGGAUAGGAGCGCCUACCGCAUGGUGGGUGUUGGAAAGAUUUAUCGGUUUUGGAUGGACUCGCGGCCUAUCAGCUUGUUGGUGAGGUAAUGGCUCACCAAGGCGACGACGGGUAGCCGGCCUGAGAGGGUGACCGGCCACACUGGGACUGAGACACGGCCCAGACUCCUACGGGAGGCAGCAGUGGGGAAUAUUGCACAAUGGGCGCAAGCCUGAUGCAGCGACGCCGCGUGAGGGAUGACGGCCUUCGGGUUGUAAACCUCUUUCAGUAGGGAAGAAGCGAAAGUGACGGUACCUGCAGAAGAAGCACCGGCUAACUACGUGCCAGCAGCCGCGGUAAUACGUAGGGUGCGAGCGUUAUCCGGAAUUAUUGGGCGUAAAGAGCUCGUAGGCGGUUUGUCGCGUCUGUCGUGAAAGUCCGGGGCUUAACCCCGGAUCUGCGGUGGGUACGGGCAGACUAGAGUGCAGUAGGGGAGACUGGAAUUCCUGGUGUAGCGGUGGAAUGCGCAGAUAUCAGGAGGAACACCGAUGGCGAAGGCAGGUCUCUGGGCUGUAACUGACGCUGAGGAGCGAAAGCAUGGGGAGCGAACAGG
rnacentral:rRNA from 1 species